CCUACGGGAGACAGCAGUGGGGAAUAUUGCACAAUGGGGGAAACCCUGAUGCAGCGACGCCGCGUGAAGGAAGAAGUAUUUCGGUAUGUAAACUUCUAUCAGCAGGGAAGAAAAUGACGGUACCUGACUAAGAAGCCCCGGCUAACUACGUGCCAGCCGCCGCGGUACUACGUAGGGGGCAAGCGUUAUCCGGAUUUACUGGGUGUAAAGGGAGCGUAGGCGGUGCAGCAAGUCAGAAGUGAAAGCCCGGGGCUCAACUCCGGGACUGCUUUUGAAACUGUUGAACUAGAUUGCAGGAGAGGUAAGUGGAAUUCCUAGUGUAGCGGUGAAAUGCGUAGAUAUUAGGAGGAACACCAGUGGCGAAGGCGGCUUACUGGACUGUAAAUGACGCUGAGGCUCGAAAGCGUGGGGAGCAAACAGGAUUAGAUACCCUAGUAGUC
rnacentral:rRNA from 1 species